rnacentral:rRNA from 1 species
GCUAGUAAUCGCGGAUCAGCAUGCCGCGGUGAAUACGUUCCCGGGUCUUGUACACACCGCCCGUCACACCACGAGAGUUUGUAACACCCGAAGUCGGUGAGGCAACCUUUUGGAGCCAGCCGCCUAAGGUGGGACAAAUGAUUGGGGUGAAGUCGUAACAAGGUAGCCGUAUCGGAAGGUGCGGCUGGAUCACCUCCUUUCU